rnacentral:lncRNA from 1 species
CCAGCAGUAAAACUUGAAGGUAAUAUAAUUCGUUUACCAAUAGCAUUACCAUCAACAUCUCCUUCAACAACAGCAUCUCUAAUACCUUUAUAUAUCUCAGUUCUUAGAUUUGCUUGAUUUCAUCUAAUGUAUUGUAGCCUUUCUUCUUCAACACAGGAGAAAUCAUCAACAAUAUAUUGCUGAAAAAGUUUACCCCCACGUAUUAAUGUUUUCCCUUCUCUUAAUCUAUUUUGUAUUCUGUAAACAUAAAACU